GCUCACCAUUGCAAUUAAACACAGACCAAGGGGGUCAGGUAAGAAUUCACCUAGCCUGUGAUAUACUCCAAGUCGCAGUAAAGGCAAGGACAAGCAGAAGAGUAGUCUUGGAAAGCCGUAGUCAGGGGAAGUCAGAGGUCAAAGAAGAGCCGAGGUCAGGAGCCAGGAACAAACAGUCAAUGAACUAACAAAGUUCCCAGGGCAAGCCAGUGCUUAAAUACCCAACUAAUACUUAUCUGAUUCAGGUGGGCUUAUAUAAACAAGUGAGAGGUAGUG